rnacentral:rRNA from 1 species
UACGAAGGGGGCUAGCGUUGCUCGGAUUGACUGGGCGUAAAGGGCGCGUAGGCGGUUCGUACAGUCAGACGUGAAAUUCCUGGGCUCAACCUGGGGGCUGCGUUUGAUACGUGCGGACUUGAGUACGGGAGAGGCGAGUGGAAUUCCUGGUGUAGCGGUGAAAUGCGCAGAUAUCAGGAGGAACACCGAUUGCGAAGGCAGCUCGCUGGAACGUUACUGACGCUGAGACGCGAAAGCGUGGGGAGCAAACAGG